UACGGGGGGGGCAAGCGUUGUUCGGAAUUACUGGGCGUAAAGGGCGCGUAGGCGGCGUGACAAGUCACUUGUGAAAUCUCCGGGCUUAACUCGGAACGGCCAAGUGAUACUGUCGUGCUAGAGUGCAGAAGGGGCAAUCGGAAUUCUUGGUGUAGCGGUGAAAUGCGUAGAUAUCAAGAGGAACACCUGAGGUGAAGACGGGUUGCUGGGCUGACACUGACGCUGAGGCGCGAAAGCUAGGGGAGCAAACGGG
rnacentral:rRNA from 1 species